GAAGAAGAAGAGAAAAAGAAGCAUAAAAGAAAAUAUGAGAAACCGAAAAAACUUGCGCGUCUCUCUCCCCAAAACACGACAAAUCAUUCUCUUUUUUUUCUUUGUGUUUUUCUUUGCUUUUCUUUUCUUGUUUCCCUUAGUCUUUUCUUUUCUCUCCCUGUUUCUUCUCUCUCUUCCAAGUAAAGACAGGUCG
rnacentral:ribozyme from 12 species